rnacentral:rRNA from 1 species
UACGGGGGGGGCAAGCGUUGUUCGGAAUUACUGGGCGUAAAGGGCUCGUAGGCGGCCAACUAAGUCAGACGUGAAAUCCCUCGGCUUAAUCGGGGAACUGCAUCUGAUACUGGAUGGCUUGAGUUCGGGAGAGGGAUGCGGAAUUCCAGGUGUAGCGGUGAAAUGCGUAGAUAUCUGGAGGAACACCGGUGGCGAAGGCGGCAUCCUGGACCGACACUGACGCUGAGGAGCGAAAGCCAGGGGAGCAAACGGG